rnacentral:rRNA from 1 species
UGGGGAAUUUUGGACAAUGGGCGCAAGCCUGAUCCAGCCAUGCCGCGUGCGGGAAGAAGGCCUUCGGGUUGUAAACCGCUUUUGUCAGGGAAGAAAUCUUCUGAGUUAAUACCUCGGGAGGAUGACGGUACCUGAAGAAUAAGCACCGGCUAACUACGUGCCAGCAGCCGCGGUAAUACGUAGGGUGCAAGCGUUAAUCGGAAUUACUGGGCGUAAAGCGUGCGCAGGCGGUUUUGUAAGACAGAGGUGAAAUCCCCGGGCUCAACCUGGGAACUGCCUUUGCGACUGCAAGGCUUGAGUGCGGCAGAGGGGGAUGGAAUUCCGCGUGUAGCAGUGAAAUGCGUAGAUAUGCGGAGGAACACCGAUGGCGAAGGCAAUCCCCUGGGCCUGCACUGACGCUCAUGCACGAAAGCGUGGGGAGCAAACAGGAUUAGAUACCCUGGUAGUCCACGCCCUAAACGAUGUCAACUGGUUGUUGGGAAGGUUCCUUCUCAGUAACGUAGCUAACGCGUGAAGUUGACCGCCUGGGGAGUACGGCCGCAAGGUUGAAACUUAAAUGAAUUGACGGGGUCAUAGCUG